rnacentral:rRNA from 1 species
GUGGGGAAUAUUGGACAAUGGGCGAAAGCCUGAUCCAGCCAUGCCGCGUGUGUGAAGAAGGUCUUCGGAUUGUAAAGCACUUUAAGUUGGGAGGAAGGGCAGUAAGUUAAUACCUUGCUGUUUUGACGUUACCGACAGAAUAAGCACCGGCUAACUUCGUGCCAGCAGCCGCGGUAAUACGAAGGGUGCAAGCGUUAAUCGGAAUUACUGGGCGUAAAGCGCGCGUAGGUGGUUUUGUAAGUUGGAGGUGAAAUCACCGGGCUCAACCUGGGACCUGACUCCCAAACUGCAUGACUAGAGUACGGUAGAGGGUAGUGGAAUUUCCUGUGUAGCGGUGAAAUGCGUAGAUAUAGGAAGGAACACCAGUGGCGAAGGCGACUACCUGGACUGAUACUGACACUGAGGUGCGAAAGCGUGGGGAGCAAACAGGAUUAGAAACCCCUGUAGUCC